GUGACAGCGGAUCCCGGCGCAGACGGUGAGGCUGCCCAGCUGCCCUGCCCGGCGCCGGCGCUGGGUGUGGGGGGCGCUGGGGCCCCUCCCUGUCACCCCGCAUGGCCGGAAUGAGCAGCACACACACCACUCUACGAGGUGGGCCAGAUCGUAGUGUGUAUGUACCUAGGAAAUGCCUGAAGAUGCUGAGGUCAGUGGCAACAGCUGAUUAGGAGACCACCCUGUUAGCAUCGAGGAUCUAAUGAUAUGGGACUCUGGCUUCAAUGUAUGCUGUUGAUUGUGCCACACAGAGUGGUACUCAGGCCUACAGAUCUGUAGUGGGUGACAGGAGGCAAAGCCAUAGAUGGAAGGAGCCUGGAGUCUCUGAGGCCAAACCUUGGAAAAGUCCACCAGGGAGAGCCACCCAGCCAGCAUCAGAAUGUGAAGUGGACUAGACAUAAAACAGUUGUCUUAAGCCACUGAAAUUUCAGGGUUGUUUUUGUUGCAGAAGCUCGCAUUAAUGACCUGGACUAGGACGGCCUCAGAAUGCAAAAUGACCCAUGCAGAAAUCCUAUUAUUAGAGUAGCCAUGGCAUUUCACAGCAAUGAUGAUUUCUUUUGUCUUAAGAUUUUGGGAGGUUCCUGUUAAAGUGCAAAUAUAGAUGUAUAAUAUAUUAAAUUAUCAAAAUUCAUGAUGACAUUUGCUGAAGUCAGAGAGAGAUGGAAAUGCAUAGAUUCAUUCAUUCAUUCAGUAUUGAAUAUGCACCUAUUAUGUGCUAAGUGAUGGGCUAGAUGCUAAAAGUGCUGCCAGUUUUCUGAUUGGUAGUUUGUGAAGGGCUUGUCUAGUGAGGUAGAGAUUUUUUAGAUCUAAAUGAGAAAUUUCAAUUUCUGAUGUGUCUCCUCCCUGGAUUUUAUUCUUCAGUUACACCCAGGAAGGACAAGGAAAGAAGUCCAAAAUAGGAGCAUGUGGACUCUGCUGUUGUGGCUUAUGUGGAGACAGUUCUUUGGUUGAGGGGCCCUGGGCUGGGAGGGUGAGAAUAAGGGAUGUUUAUGCACUGAGCUGCGUGGGCAGGAGAGGACCCUUACUCAUUUAUGUUAAGAUAGGUAAGAUAGCAACAAGGAGGACUUGGAGCCUGGGAUUCCUUGGAUUUGGGAUCUGUUAGCAGGUCUUGAUGCCUAACAAUGAUCAUUGUGUAUUCAAACAAAUAAAAACAAUGUGAUUU